ACAUGCCUACAACAUAACAUUAAUGCAACGAAUCCCAUUAGAACUUUGCAGUUAAGCGGGCUCAGGAUAGAGUAGUACUAGAAUGGGUGACCGCUCGAGAAGUCCUAGUGUUUUACAUGCC
rfam:Picea glauca, whole genome shotgun sequence.